rnacentral:rRNA from 1 species
CACGUAGGGGGCAAGCGUUGUCCGGAUUUAUUGGGCGUAAAGAGCUCGUAGGCGGUUCGGUAAGUCGGGUGUGAAACCUCCAGGCUCAACCUGGAGACGCCACCCGAUACUGCUGUGACUAGAGUCCGGUAGGGGAGCGUGGAAUUCCUGGUGUAGCGGUGAAAUGCGCAGAUAUCAGGAGGAACACCGGUGGCGAAGGCGGUUCUCUGGGGCAUUACCUGACGUGAGGAGCGAAAAGUGUGGGGGAGCGAACAGG